rnacentral:misc_RNA from 1 species
UUGAAUACGUUGGGUUACUGAUGCUGGCUCUUUACUGAGCAUGUGCUCGUUCCCCUUCUAUUUAUCUUCUCUUGUGCACCUUUUGUAGUCUUUGAAGAAAGCGAACCUUUUCGCAGCAAUGCGGUUUGGGGGCAUGGUAAACCUGCCUCUGCUUGCUUUCUUCAAGGCUAUGUUUUCAUAUACACUAUAAAGUUACAGAAUGUCUUUUUAACGAUUGUGCUAGUCGCAGUCAUUAAACCUAAUA